rnacentral:rRNA from 1 species
AGAGUUUGAUCCUGGCUCAGGAUGAACGCUAGCGGCAGGCCUAAUACAUGCAAGUCGAGGGGCAGCAGGUUCGAGUUUACUUGAACGCUGGCGACCGGCGCACGGGUGCGUAACGCGUAUGCAACCUACCCACUACAGGGGGAUAGCCAUUGGAAACAGUGAUUAAUACCCCAUAAUGCAUUGAUCUCACCUGGGGUUAUUUGCUAAAGAUUUAUCGGUAGUGGAUGGGCAUGCGUAAGAUUAGCUAGUUGGUAGUGUAAUAGACUACCAAGGCGACGAUCUUUAGCGGGUCUGAGAGGAUGAUCCGCCACACUGGUACUGAGACACGGACCAGACUCCUACGGGAGGCAGCAGUAGGGAAUAUUGGUCAAUGGGGGCAACCCUGAACCAGCCAUGCCGCGUGCAGGAAGACAGCCUUCUGGGUUGUAAACUGCUUUUAUCAGGGGGGAAUUACCGGGAUGCGUCCUGGGGUUGACAGUACCUGAUGAAUAAGCACCGGCUAACUCCGUGCCAGCAGCCGCGGUAAUACGGAGGGUGCGAGCGUUGUCCGGAUUUAUUGGGUUUAAAGGGUGCGUAGGCGGGACAAUAAGUCAGUGGUGAAAGUCCACCGCUCAACGGUGGGAUUGCCAUUGAUACUGUUGUUCUUGAGUAGAGUCGAGGUAGGCGGAAUUUAUGGUGUAGCGGUGAAAUGCAUAGAUACCAUAAGGAACACCGAUAGCGAAGGCAGCUUACUAGACUACUAACUGACGCUGAGGCACGAAAGCGUGGGUAGCGAACAGGAUUAGAUACCCUGGUAGUCCACGCCGUAAACGAUGAUUACUCGAUGUAUGCGAUAGAUAGUAUGCGUCCCAGCGAAAGCGAUAAGUAAUCCACCUGGGGAGUACGCCGGCAACGGUGAAACUCAAAGGAAUUGACGGGGGUCCGCACAAGCGGUGGAGCAUGUGGUUUAAUUCGAUGAUACGCGAGGAACCUUACCUGGGCUAGAAUGCCUUUGCAAUCCUCAGAGAUGGGGAGUUUCUUCGGAACGAAGUGCAAGGUGCUGCAUGGUUGUCGUCAGCUCGUGCCGUGAGGUGUUGGGUUAAGUCCCGCAACGAGCGCAACCCUUGCUGUUAGUUGCCAGCACAUAAUGGUGGGGACUCUAACAGGACUGCCUACGCAAGUAGAGAGGAAGGGGGGGAUGACGUCAAAUCAUCAUGGCCCUUACGCCCAGGGCUACACACGUGCUACAAUGGGAGAUACAGAGGGUCGCGACAUGGCAACAUGAAGCCAAUCUCAAAAAGUCUUUCUCAGUUCGGAUUGAGGUCUGCAACUCGACCUCAUGAAGUUGGAAUCGCUAGUAAUCGCGCAUCAGCAAUGGCGCGGUGAAUACGUUCCCGGACCUUGUACGCACCGCCCGUCACACCAUGGGAGUUGGUUGCACCAGAAGUAGAUAGCUUAACCUCCGGGAGGGCGUUUACCACGGUGUGAUCAAUGACUGGGGUGAAGUCGUAACAA